rnacentral:tRNA from 1 species
UGUAGCUCAGUGGUAGAGCAACUGCCUAACAUGCAUGAGACUCUGGGUUCCAUCCCAGCA